GGUAGAUGUAGAACAAAUGGGUCGGAAUUUAGCUGGAGAAAGGAAAACACAAAGAUAAAUGGCUUUCACUGUUCUGACACAUCUAUCUCUGGCAUGCAAGGAAGAAAAGCAGUACUACAUCAGAUACAUGCGGCAUUAGCACUAGCUGUUACCCCAUAUAAAGAUGUCCCACUGGCAGAAGAGACACUCAGAAUGAGCAGAAAAUUCUUUUGUAUUUGCGGUCAGCUAUCCAGAUAAGUCAGAUUGACCAAUCAGAUAUUAGAAGUAUUAAAAGCUACAGCACUGAAAGCUGAAAAGAGUAAAGAGAGUUUCACAUGUAAGAUAAGGAAUGUGUUCCUAAUGUGAAUGGGAAGGUAUGAAUGAGGAGGUGCACUGCAUCAAGAAAGAUGGCCCUGGUGUAACGCUUCCUGGCAGGUUGGAUGUCACUCUUGGGGGCUCCUCUUUCAAUUGCACAGGCCUCAGUGGUCGCAUGUUUGGCACUGGUGAAGGAAGAGCUAGGUUGAACUGCAUACUACAGUGAUGUGUCUGGCACCUUGAGGAUGAUUUAGGGAGGGUAAGUAAAACACUUUUGCCUGUCAUGAAAAGGACAGAUCACGAUCAGUCUGUCACAUAUAAUUUGACAAUUUGCAAUGCUUGAACAACGGGAGGCCAAGGAACAUAUUUCAAACAUUGCUACUGAUAGAAGAGUUUUACAGUAGCUCCCAAUUUCUAUGCUGAAUAAAAGUCCUGAUUAAAAACAGUGGUAUAAUAGAUGGCCAUGAAGACUUGGUGCAC
ensembl:lncRNA